rnacentral:rRNA from 1 species
ACGAACGCUGGCGGCGUGCUUAACACAUGCAAGUCGAACGGAAAGGCCCUGCUUUUGUGGGGUGCUCGAGUGGCGAACGGGUGAGUAACACGUGAGUAACCUGCCCUUGACUUUGGGAUAACUUCAGGAAACUGGGGCUAAUACCGGAUAGGAGCUCCGCUGCAUGGUGGGGGUUGGAAAGUUUCGGCGGUUGGGGAUGGACUCGCGGCUUAUCAGCUUGUUGGUGGGGUAGUGGCUUACCAAGGCUUUGACGGGUAGCCGGCCUGAGAGGGUGACCGGCCACAUUGGGACUGAGAUACGGCCCAGACUCCUACGGGAGGCAGCAGUGGGGAAUAUUGCACAAUGGGCGGAAGCCUGAUGCAGCAACGCCGCGUGCGGGAUGACGGCCUUCGGGUUGUAAACCGCUUUCGCCUGUGACGAAGCGUGAGUGACGGUAAUGGGUAAAGAAGCACCGGCUAACUACGUG